GGAAAAUUCACCAUUAGGUAAGGUAGAUUAUUUGCUAAGUAAUUGAAUUAAUUAUUCUUAUGAGUUCAAAUCUCAUAUUUUCCG
rnacentral:tRNA from 1 species